GCAUAUCAAUAAGCGGAGGAAAAGAAACCAACAGGGAUUGCCCCAGUAACGGCGAGUGAAGCGGCAACAGCUCAAAUUUGAAAUCUGGCCCUAGGCCCGAGUUGUAAUUUGCAGAGGAUGCUUUUGGCGCGGUGCCUUCCGAGUUCCCUGGAACGGGACGCCAUAGAGGGUGAGAGCCCCGUACGGUUGGACACCAAGCCUUUGUAAAGCUCCUUCGACGAGUCGAGUAGUUUGGGAAUGCUGCUCAAAAUGGGAGGUAUAUUUCUUCUAAAGCUAAAUAUUGGCCAGAGACCGAUAGCGCACAAGUAGAGUGAUCGAAAGAUGAAAAGCACUUUGAAAAGAGGGUUAAACAGCACGUGAAAUUGUUAAAAGGGAAGCGCUUGUGACCAGACUUGCGCCCGGUGAAUCACCCAGCUCUCGCGGCUGGGGCACUUUGCCGGCACAGGCCAGCAUCAGCUUGCCGUCGGGGACAAAAGCUUCAGGAACGUAGCUCUCUUCGGGGAGUGUUAUAGCCUGUUGCAUAAUACCCUUCGGCGGGCUGAGGUACGCGCUCCGCAAGGAUGCUGGCGUAAUGGUCAUCAGCGACCCGUCUUGAAACACGGACCAAGGAGUCAACCUUAUGUGCGAGUGUUUGGGUGUUAAACCCCUACGCGUAAUGAAAGUGAACGCAGGUGAGAGCUUCGGCGCAUCAUCGACCGAUCCUGAUGUUCUCGGAUGGAUUUGAGUAAGAGCAUAUAGGGUUGGACCCGAAAGAAGGUGAACUAUGCGUGUAUAGGGUGAAGCCAGAGGAAACUCUGGUGGAGGCUCGCAGCGGUUCYGACGUGCAAAUCSAUCGUCAAAYAYGCGCAUGSGGGYGAMAGMCUAAUCGAACCUUCUAGUAGCUGGUUUCCGCCGAA
rnacentral:rRNA from 1 species